AAGUCGUAACAAGGUUUCCGUAGGUGAACCUGCGGAAGGAUCAUUAAAAAUUUAUAUUCCGGGAAUUCGUUUCGUUUUCCCGUGAUUAUUUGUAUUCAAAUCCCACUCUUUAUAAAUAUAUUAAUUAUAUAAAACAAAAAAUAAAAAAGAAAACUUUCAACAACGGAUCUCUUGGCUCUC
rnacentral:misc_RNA from 1 species